rnacentral:lncRNA from 1 species
AAGUAAACUGUUUCUCCCUCCAAGGGACAGAUCUGGAGCCUCUCCUACUACUAUCUCAAAUAACCUACUUGCAAAUUUCAAAACAAAAGACACAAGGAAAUUACAGACUGUCACUUUUAUUUACAACUUCCUUCCAAUGAGAGGCUGUACUUGCAGGGCUACAUCUGAAACUAAUUUGUGUGGGAUGGACUCAGAGGGAUGGCCAGGCAGCUGGCACAUUGCUGCCAGAUCAGCAGAUGCCACAGCCUCUAAUAGGUAUGUGACCUUGGUCAAGUAACCCAAGGCAUCUACCUGAAGGAAGCGAUGGUUCAGAAGAUGGGGGGCGCUGGGAGAGAAGCAGGGAAGAGGAGAAAAUUGUGCAAAUACAUUUGGAAAAACACAAAGUGCAAUUGAAACUCCAGUCUUAAUCAAAAACAGUAACAGGCUCUGCGAAAUACCCACAAAGCCCUGCUAAAAAUAGGUGAAGUUCAUCCAGAGUUCAAAUCUUCUCAAAAUUACUUUUACUUCCCAGUUUAGGCCUAUCAAAGCUGCCAUGAAGCCCUUAGUUUUUUAAGUUAGAAAACAAACUGUCCAUGCAGACGAAUCAGCAUGUGCUUGCAUCACAAAAUGAAACCAGGAGUGAAAGAAACUUGACAAAUCUUUCCUCACCAUUUUACCGAAGCGCCCUGAGCCCUGAGUUUGGAGUCGGCAAAACAUGAAUUGGAACUUAUUAGCAUCUUGACAACCUCACCGAGCUUCGAAGUUCUUAACCUUUAACGUGGAUUAUGCGUCAUAGGCCCUUAUACUGCUUGGAAUGGAAACAAUUCAAAACUGCUUUCUUUCCACUGUGACAUGACUGAUUCAGAUCAUGUGUAAAUCUGGAAAUCCUCUCUAUGGUCAGACUUGGGCUGAAGGGGAACCCUAGAUGCUUCCCACUGACCCACAGCAUGUGAAAGCGAGGAAAGUGUCUAAUUUGGAAACCAAAUGUCUUUGAGAAGAGUAAUCCAGAUGUAAACUGAAAUCCCCGCUGGCCUCUGAAAUUGAUGUGAAACUGAGGAGCCCUCCCCUCUUUCAGGGGGAAGUUCCCAGUUGCUCUACCUAGGAGUCCUCAAAAUCUCAGCGGCUUGUGUUUUUGUCUGAGUCUGCUUCCACCACACAUGGAAAUUCACCUGAGGUUUGCCUCCUCUUCUCCUCCCCACCCCUCCCAGUGAAGCCACCCACACUCCCCCAUUCAUGGGGUUCUUCAACCAAACCAGUUGUAAACAGUGGAUGGGAAACGUUAGGAAGGUUUGAAGUGGCAGAAAAUUUUUACAAUGACAAAUGCAAUUGACUGGACACUAUGAGGCUUCCUGUACUUAAAAGCAUCUUGCCCCUACCUUUCUCCAGGACAUCCAGCCCUGUCCCUACAGCCCAGGGCCCUCCGUCUCCUUACCCUCUGGCUCACCAGAUUUGCAGGAGGCUUACCUCUCUACAACCCACUGGGCACUAAGCCUCCCUCGGCCCAUCCAGAGACACACUCUGUGCUCUGCUAGGCAGAGAGCUAUUUGCCUGGAGCCCCGGUGAACUCGCAGAGGCUCUGAAAUGUAUUCUUUCCCGCUCUGCAUUGCCCACUCUGGCAAUCUCUGUAAAAAGAAGGACAUAGGAUAGAGAUUUAUUUUCCCACUAAUGUAAGUUAUUAUUCCCCAAGCACCCAAGACAGAGCUGACAAUUUCAGGAUUUUUUUUUUUUUUUGUCUUUUGAGGGCCGCACUGGCGGCAUAUGGAGGUUCCCAGGCUAGGGGUUGAAUUGGAGCUGUAGCCACCAGCCUACACCACAACCACAGCAACUCAGGGUCAGAUCCACGUCUGCGACCUACACCACAGCUAAUGGCAACAUCAGAUCCUUAACCCACUGAGCAAAGCCAGGGAUGAAACCUGCAACCUCAUGGUUACUAGUCAGCUUCGUUAAUCACUGAGCCACAACAGGAACUCCUCUGGAUGUUUUUUAAAUUAAAGUACAGUUGGGCGUUCCCGUUGUGGCUCAGGGGAAACCAUCUGACUAGUAUCCAUGAGAACACAGGUUCGACCCCUGGCCACACUCAGUGGGUUAAGGAUCCUACAUUGCCAUGAGCUGUGGUGUAGGUCGCAGGCAUGGCUCGGAUCCCACGUUGCUAUGGCUGUGAUGCAGGCUGGCAGCUGUAGCUACAAUUCGACCCCUCACCUGGGAACCUCCAUGUGCUCCAGGUAAAUAUGUAUAUAUAUUCCAUCAGCUGGAGGUACAGCAAGUUUUUCUACUUACCUAAGGACAUCUAAGUUGCUUCCAGGUUUUGGCAGAGUUCCCGUCGUGGUGCAGUGGUUAACGAAUCUGACUAGGAACCAUGAGGUCGAGAGUUCAAUCCCUGGCCUUGCUCAGUGGGUUGAGGAUCCGUGGUGUAAGUUGCAGAUGAGGCUGUGGUGUAGGUUGCAGACACGGCUCAGAUCCCGCGUUGCUGUGGCUCUGGCAUAGGCUGGUUGCUACAGCUCUGAUUUGAUCCCUAGCUUGGGAACCCUCAUAUGCUGCAGGAGCAGCCCAGGAAAUGGCAAAAAGCCAAAAGGCCAAAAAAAAACCUGCACCCAGAUGUUGAUAAGGAGAUUUACUGAUCAUUGACAAAACUUGGAAGCAACUAAGAUGUCCUUUGGUAGAUUAAAAAACAAAAACAAACAAACAAACAAAAAAAAACGGUGGUACAUCCAGACAGCAGAAUAUUAUUUAGCACUAAAAAUAAAUGAGCUAUAAAGCCAUGGAACGACAUGGGAAAAGCUUAAAUGCAUAUUGCUAAGGGAAAGGAGCAAAUAUUAGAACACAUACUGUAUGAUUCCAACUACACGAUAUUCUGGAAAAGGCAAAACUAUGGAGUCAGUAAAGAGAUUAGCAGUUGCCAGGAAUUGGGGGAUGGAGUAGAUGAAUGAAUAGACAGAGCACAGAGGUGUUUUAGGGCAGUAAAAAUACUCUGUAUGACACUGAAGUGAUAGGUACACAUUACACAUUUUUCCGAACCCACAGAAUGUACGAUACCAGGAGAGAAUUCUAAUAUAAGCCAUUGACUACGGGUGAUUUCGUAAUAAAGGCACUAACUACUGUGCGGCAGGGGAGAGGAGGUUGAUUAUGGGGGGGACGUAUGCCUGUGUUGGGGUAGGAGGUAUGCAGAACCCCUCUCUCGCUUCCCUCUAAUUUUGCCAUAAACAAAUGGAAAUGCCCAUUUUUAUUUUCUCAGAUGACACUUUUGGCUCAAUUGAACUAACCUUCUGAAACUAAAAGGACUGUCAAGCCUGUGGCUGGGAUGCUUUGUCAAACUUUCCUUGACUGUGUCAUUCCAUUUAGGUACAGUCAAUGCCUUAAGAUGUUGUCCCUAGAAAAUUGAGUUAUAAUAGCCACCAGUUACUUAGUGCUUAUGAUAUGUCAGGCACUGGAUAAAAUUCUCAAAAAUUAUUUAAAAAAAAAAAAUCCCAUGAACUACUGGUCAUUAGAAAAGAAGGCUCAGACACAUGAAGUAACUUCCCCAAGGUGACACAGCUAGUAAGUGGCGAUGUUGGUGACUGUGGGACUCAAAAGCCAGUGCUGUUAACACCAUCCCACCUGUCCUUUUUCUUUAGACACUGACUCAGAAGAAAGGAAAAUGGUUUUCUCAAAUUAGAUUUUAUUUGCGUUUGAUACAAAAGCAUUCUAUGUUAAUUAUCUUCAUUGUCAGAAAUGGUGUCUCCAUGUGCUGAGGCAGCGCCUGCUAAUUUGUAUCAAAGGGAAUAAAUGAUGGCAACUUUGUUCAACAAAAUACAAUUUUCUGGUCACCGGCGCAAAGAACCCUCAGAGAUGAACAACUAAAUUAAUGUACAUGAGUCUUAACGCCUCAGAAGAGGUUAUGUUUGAAAUUUAACCCACUGUCUGCGGGGUAGAAAGCAUACAAGACUUAAACGCCACAUUAAGUCAAACCACAAUUAAAGCACAUUAAAUGAGAAUUUCAAAUUCAAUAAUAAGUAUGAGUGAUAAAUGAGAGUGGAUGGCUGUAAAUAAAGAAAGCCCUCUGGUUUUGACUCCACUUCAUGCCACCUGCUUCGUUCAACCAGAGGCCUCCCAUCAUCUCUGUCGUUAAUUCGUGAGAGCAAAUUUAUGCUGCACUAUUUAUCAUUGGCUGUAGCGUUUGCUCAUGGCUGGCUUGGUUCCUCCUUUGGCCUUUGUUUUCCUACUUCUCAGGCAUUAUUUGGCAGAGACGGUCUGGGAAGGGUGUGCCCAGUCCAAUCUGGUGUCUGAGGAUCUUCGUCUACAGGGCCCAUCCGAGACCAUGGAGACUCUGACAAGAACAGGGUCAGAGGAAGGGCUGAGGUCAGAUUGGAAAGGGUUAGGAUAAUGAAUUAAUUAUUUAAUUAAAAAGUUCAGCUGUGAAGGACCCAAGCAUGUUAAAAGUCAGUAAAGAGAGAGCAAUCAAAAGCAAGGGAGUGAGGGAGUUCCCACUGUGGCUCUGUGGGUAAAGAACCUGACUAGUAUCCAUGAGGGUGCGGGUUCAAUCCCUGGUCUCACUCAGUGGAUUAAAGAUCUGGUGUUGCUGUGACCUGUGGUGUAGGUCACAGACGUGGCUCAGAUCCCAUGUUGCUGUGGCUGUGGCGUAGGCUGGCACCUGUAGCUGCUAUUCAACCCUUACCCUGGGAACUUCCAUAUGCUGCAGGUGCAGU